rnacentral:hammerhead_ribozyme from 1 species
AUGCAACUGACGAGUUCCAAAUAGGACUAAAAGCGCAUCCUGGAU